GAAGCAGGCCAGACCGCCGCUGGUGCGAUCGUGGAAACACGGCACUGGAGGAAGGUCCGGACUGCACAGGGCGGCGUAGCAGCUAACGGCUGUCCACCGUGAGGUGAGGAUCAGAGCAACAGAGACGAGCCGAUUCAGUUCGGGUGAAACGGGCAAUCUCUACGCGCAGCAAUACCAAGUAGGCACACGUUGACCUGGCCCGGGGAGUGUGCGGGUAGGUAGCACCGAGCCGAAGGGUGAUCUUCGGCCCAGAGGAAUGGCGGUCACGGCGGGGUCUGGCAACAGGGCCUGCCGCACAGAAUCCGGCCUAUCGGUCUGCUUCAC
rnacentral:RNase_P_RNA from 1 species